GGGCGGCAGUCUACACAUGCAGUCGAGCGGUAGCACAGAGAGCUUGCUCUCGGGUGACGAGCGGCGGACGGGUGAGUAAUGUCUGGGAAACUGCCUGAUGGAGGGGGAUAACUACUGGAAACGGUAGCUAAUACCGCAUAACGUCGCAAGACCAAAGUGGGGGACCUUCGGGCCUCAUGCCAUCAGAUGUGCCCAGAUGGGAUUAGCUAGUAGGUGGGGUAAUGGCUCACCUAGGCGACGAUCCCUAGCUGGUCUGAGAGGAUGACCAGCCACACUGGAACUGAGACACGGUCCAGACUCCUACGGGAGGCAGCAGUGGGGAAUAUUGCACAAUGGGCGCAAGCCUGAUGCAGCCAUGCCGCGUGUAUGAAGAAGGCCUUCGGGUUGUAAAGUACUUUCAGCGAGGAGGAAGGCGUUAAGGUUAAUAACCUUAGUGAUUGACGUUACUCGCAGAAGAAGCACCGGCUAACUCCGUGCCAGCAGCCGCGGUAAUACGGAGGGUGCAAGCGUUAAUCGGAAUUACUGGGCGUAAAGCGCACGCAGGCGGUUUGUUAAGUCAGAUGUGAAAUCCCCGGGCUCAACCUGGGAACUGCAUUUGAAACUGGCAAGCUUGAGUCUUGUAGAGGGGGGUAGAAUUCCAGGUGUAGCGGUGAAAUGCGUAGAGAUCUGGAGGAAUACCGGUGGCGAAGGCGGCCCCCUGGACAAAGACUGACGCUCAGUGCGAAAGCGUGGGGAGCAAACAGAUUAGAUACCCUGGUAGUCCACGCUGUAAACGAUGUUCAACUUGGAGGUUGUUCCUUGAGGAAGUGCUUCCGGAGCUAACGCCGUUAAGUCUGACCGCUGGGGAAUAACGGCCGCAGGUUUAAAACCUCAAAUGAAUUUGAGUGGGGUCACGCAACAAGCGGUGGAGCAUGUGUUAAUCGAAUGCACGGAAGAAAUCUUACCUACUCUUGACAUCAGAGACGUAACCGAAGAUGCUGGGUGCUUCCGAACUUAGACAGGCCUGCAGGUCAGUACCUGAGCUCGACUGGUCACACAAC
rnacentral:rRNA from 1 species